AGGAUCUCAGGUGACGACUAUGACAAACGGUGGUGUUGUGAUGGAACGGCAUGUCUCUUCGGUGGACUGUGAUGACUCAAGGUGUGAGCCGUGGUGGUUGGUGAACGGUGAUUACGUCUCGUCUUCUCCGAUAGACAGCCAUGCACAUGUGAAGAAGAAGGGAACCAGAGAGAGAGAUAUAGAUUAAUGGAGGAGGCGGCUGAUCUUUCUCUCGAUACACCAAACCUUCUCUCGCUUUAGGUUUUAGAAGGGAUUAUAUACACAUGGAUAUAUAUAUAUAUAUAACUCGGUUCAUUAGUGGUUAGGUUCAAUCAAAUAAUUAAAUUAAACCAUGAGCUACUAAACCAAAAUCAGGGUCGUUACAAAAAAUCCAAACUUUCUAUCCGUAGAAACUGAGUGUAAGUAAAGAGAGAGAGUGAUAAGUAAAAUAAAGAAAUUAGCACUCCUAUACACCGAUAACUGCUAUAUUUGCACCGAUGGAAUUAUGCUUUUUUUGAUGCUGUGUUUUUUUUAAUGGCAGUUUUGUCCCUACCUUUUUCUACACAACUUAUUUCGUAUGUUUUCCAAAAUCUCUAUAUCUCUCUCCUCUCUCCUUAUCUCGCCCCCUUUUCUUUCUUCUUCUACUCCUUCCUCCUCGAAGCACCAAUCUAGUUUCAAAUCCCAUCCUCCACUCUCUUGCGUAUUCGUAUAAAUACAUAUACAGAACUGCUCAAACCUUUUCGAUUUGGUCCCAGAUUCAGUUACCAGAAGCUAUAUUCGUUUGAAAAAUAGAGGAUGGUUGGGAGUGGUACUAGGGUUUCGAUUCCGGCGGAUACCAAGAAGACGAAGAGAUCACUGCUGGGAACUAUAGUGAGGAUGAGAUUCACGCAAUCCUCCUUGUAUGCAAUAUGAAUCCCAUGACGCUGCUCAACGCCUUCGUCUUCAGGAUCAUGUCACUAGUUGAUGUUAUUGUUUUGUUUGAUGAGCACAUAAUGGCUUCUGGAUAUCAAUCUUUGGAACCAUCAAUGAACUGCCUAGUCAACAACCUCCACAAAAGCACCUUGGCAAAUUACGUGUAUACUGGAAUCAGAGGAGCAGCGUAUAUGGACUUCUUGGACAGUGUUCUUUGUGAUUCUUUACGAGCAAAUGCUAUCAACAUAUCUAUAACUAACUGCUAGACUGUUAACAUAUUUAAUAGCCUUCAAUGUUAGACUGCUAACAAUUUUAAUAGCAUAUAACCAUUUAUCUGUUUAUGUAUCUUCGAAUAAUAUUGUGGUAUUGUUAGCAUGUUUUAUGACAUUGUUGGCAUGUUAGCAUAUCUAUUAACAUAUAACAGUGUUCUUUAAA